UACGGAGGGUGCGAGCGUUUAUCGGAAUUACUGGGCGUAAAGCGCGCGUAGGCGGUCUGAUCAGCCGGUUGUGAAAGCCCCGGGCUCAACCUGGGAACGGCAUCCGGAACUGUCAGGCUAGAGUGCAGGAGAGGAAGGUAGAAUUCCCGGUGUAGCGGUGAAAUGCGUAGAGAUCGGGAGGAAUACCAGUGGCGAAGGCGGCCUUCUGGACUGACACUGACGCUGAGGUGCGAAAGCGUGGGUAGCAAACAGGAUUAGAUACCCUGGUA
rnacentral:rRNA from 1 species